GGCGUGUUAGCAGAGUGGUUAUGCAGCGGAUUGCAAAUCCGUGGACCUCGGUUCAAAUCCGGGACACGCCU
rnacentral:tRNA from 1 species